AUGCCAGAAUUAUUUCAUACCACAACACCCAAAACCCAUAUCAACUGCCAUCAUCAAACAGAGAAAAAGACCCUAAGAAACUUGGUGAGUGACAACAUAACAGAACAGAAAACAAAUUUCCUGAACACAGAAAAUGAAGUCUCCCUGAAGGAAGGCAAAAGACAAAAAAGAGAGACUAAAAUACAGGAGCAUGUGAACAAAUGAGAUAAUAGCUGGAAACGUGAAGCCCUAGCCACCAAGAACAGAGAGCUCUCCAAUUGUAAGAAUUCUUCAAAGUAUCUAUCUUUUUUAAAAAUCACAAGAUUUUUCAAGUUCUUUCUAGGAGCAUGCUGAGAUGCAAAGAAAGUUAGAUGAAAGAUAGUGACUGAGAGCAGACAGUUACUUAGAAGUCUUGUUAUGAAAUAGUUUUUAGGUGGGAAAACCAUGCUAGUACUUCCCAAAUCAGGCCAAAUGUAUUUUAGCUUAUGCAGUUGUUUCCUACUGAGUCAGUGCACUAUGGAAGGCAGAGACAUCCAACACUUCUGUAAUAGGUCAAAGAAAAGAAUCUGUGACUGGAGGAGAGAGAGUGCAUGAGGCUCACCACAGCAUGUUAGGGCUGCCCCAAGAAUCAUUGCGCAUGGAGAUCUUACAGGGUGACUUUUUAAUCUCAAGGGCAGGAAACAUAUGUAUGAGUCAAUGUACAUAAAUGCAAAUUCAUUUCAAUAGGUCUGUAUUUGGUUACUUUCUGAAGGUUCAUGAUUAUUUUAGCUAGAUCUUUAAGACUACAGGUGCCCUUCAAAUGUAGGGCAUUUAAAAAAGUGAAAUAUUGACAUCUAUUAAAUAAAAAAAGGCAAACUGAGUUAGGGCAUACAUAUAUGGUAUAGGAAACUCCAAUUGUGUUCAAGACAUAUGUGACUCUAAUGUUAAACCAAGAUGUAUUCAUUAGCGUGCUCCCUAAUCUCAUAUGCCUGAGAUUCUUCUGAAGGCUUACAUUGGGAUUCUAAGUAAAAGUCUAGUUUGCUAGAUGGACUGAGACUCUGGCUGAGUCCUCUUUCUAAGACAAGUCCAUAAUCUCACCCCUAUCCUUUAUUCAGGAAUAUCUCUGGCUCUGUCGUUACACAGCUCUUUAGUAGACCAUCACAGUUCACUUAAGAGAAUCAGAGGAACAUAGCAAAUGUCCCACCUAGACCUGUUUCUUUGGUUAUUCAAUUUUGGUGAGGAGAAGUGCAAAGGCAUAAACUCCUGUGAGGAGACCGGAGACUCCAAAGGCAUGAGACUUGGCCCAUGAUAAGUAGAAGAAAAUAUCCGUAUUAGGAAAGGGAGAGUGCAAAUCCAAGUUAAAUAUGACACCUUUGCCCCUUAAGACUUCCACAUGUGGAUAUGCACGCUUGAUCAAGAUGAAGACAUCCCUGGUUUCACGUGGCUUAACUUGGCACUUAUGAGCACCAUUUCGCUUCUCAGUUUGGUUGUAUCUCUGGCCAGGUUCCAAUGAUCUCACAGUAGAAAUUUCUGACAUUAAAUGUAUGCCUGUAAAGCACUUUAGAGAUAUUUGAAAAAUAUUUUUAUUUUAAGAAAAAUAUUCAACAUGACAGAAUACACUAACAUAUCUAUGAAUAACUUGAACUGAAACAUACACACAAUAUAGUUGAUACAGAAUUUCAGCAAACACAGCCCCUACUGCAACAUUUGCACUCAACACCCCUUUGUGUUUACAGUAUGGUAUUUCUCACGUAUACAUUUAGAGUGGGCAUUUGCAAUGUAACUGGCCAUGCAUUUUGUCUACAAAUAAAACAUUUAAGUGAAGAGAAUAGUAUUGUCAAUUCAAAUUUAAAAAUUUACAAAACUUCAAUUCAGUAAACAUAAUAAAUUCCUUAAGAAGGUGUACAAGUGUAGUGAUUGAGAAGACAGGCUGCUACUAGUAACUACUUUUGUGAGCUGGGGCAAAUUACUUCACCUUCUACCUCUCAUUUCCUCCUUUGUAAAAGGUAAUUGUAACUCCUGGAGGUGUUGUGAGGAUUAAGUGAGUUCGUAUGUAUGAGAACUGCUUACAACAAGGCCUGGCACAUAGAUAGGGCUCCAUACAUUUUGGUUGUUGCUGUUAUUGGUCUAUUGCAAGCACUGCCCUUGGUGUACCAGUGCAAACAAAGGUAAAUGAGCAGUAGUCCUUACCUUCAAGAUGCAGAAACCUGAAAUAUAGACAAAGAGUUAUAAUUCAACUCAGGCUUCAAGAAGAGUUAUAACAGAGACACAAAGUACAGUUAGUAGUACCCAGGGAGGGCAGGUUUACAACAAGGGGUACAUUUGAUAUGGGUCUUAAGGAAUGAGUAAGAUUUUGACAGGUAGAAGGGAAAAUGAGAGAACGAUAAAAUAUUUUGGACAGAUGAAGCAGCCGAUAAAUUUAUGAAUGUAGGAGAUACAAGGGACCACAUGUAUUCCAAAUUAGCUACAAUGUAGUAUAUAGUAUCAAUGCAACUAACACCCUUUUCUAUGCCCAAUGGCAGACUCUGCAAAUCUAUUUCAACAUUGUUUCCUGCUGAGUCUGAUUUGCCUCAGAAUCCUUAGUGUAGGGCUCAAGAAACAAACAUUACCUCUUCACCAAUUUGGUUUGGGUAAUGAAAUCUGUUUGCUACCUCAGGUAUAGGAUAGCUCCAAGGUGGUGGGGGGUGAUAGGAGUAGCUAAACUCAAAAAGUUAAAAAACAGUAAUAAUUACUAUAUAUCCAGUGUUUAUUAUACACCCUCAUACAAGUUAUCUAAUUUAAUUCUCAAUAUGUAAAGUAGGCAUUUUUCUUUCCAUUUUCAAUAUAUAAAGAAACAGAUUGCAAAAGUUAAGAACCAUUUCUUAUGGUUCCAAUUGUACCUGUAAAGCAUGGUCCAUUAGCUCGAAAAUGUGUGAGUCGGAGUUUAAACUUAGGGCUUUUAACAUCUAAAACCUGCAUUCUUAAUCACAUUAUGAUACUAAAUCUCAUUUAAAACAACAUGGAGGUAAACUGAAAUCAGUCACAAACCAGGUCUUAAUUUCAUGUUAAUAAUUUUUAAACUUUAUUCUGUACAUAAAGGGAAGAUAUUGGAGGUUUUUGAGCAGAAAAGUUUGAUUGGAUUUGCCUUGUAGGAAGAAAACUCUGGUGGCAGGGUGAAAAAUAUAUGAAAACUAAGGAGACCAGAGAUGGAACAAUUUGUUGGCAGAGAAGUGGGGGUAUGAGUAAAAAGGAGAUAACAGAAUCAAAUUAUAGCUUCAAAAUGAAAUUCAUAGGACUUGUUGACUGUAUGAAGAGAGGUAACAUUUCUGAAAUUCUGAGUUUGGCCCCUUGCCAAUUGACAUGAGCAGGAAGAGAGUGAGUUAAGUUUGAGACACUUAUGGACUAUACAGAGGGAGAUUGUCUAUCAAUUUGUAUAUAUAAGGUUUAACCUAUUAAGUUUUGAUCUAGUCAAAAAAAAAAAUAAAUAAACAAUGGACUAAUGGAACUCUAGACAGUUCCAGGAUAUAACAAGAAUGGGCACGUUUCCCAAUGACAUUAAAAUGUGGAGGGGAGAAAAUGAGAAAAAAGUUACAAGAUUUAAGUUAAAAGAACAAUUUGAUGUUAUCAGAGAUAUACUCCUUUUUUUCAUUAACUCACUUCUUUACAAGCACAAGGUAGAUUGAUUAUGUCGUUUUCAUUCUUCCAUGGUAGAGAAUUCUUGCCCAGUCAUAAAUAAACUUAGUGCUAGGGCUCUCAGCAGUCUGACCUAUUUAGCUAAGUUAUUAUUAUUAUUAUUAUUAUUAUUAUUAUUGGAUUUGUAGUUUAGUUCUAGUGAGAAAGUGUCAGAAUGAUAGCCCCUGGGACUGAUGCAUAGUAGAAUACUCAAUUUGUUGGAAAGCAUGUAUGUUAGUAAAUUUCAAUUCCUGUGUUCUUUUAAACAUAUUGAAAUUCUUGAGCAUGGCAAGGUGUGAAAGGUAUUUCAUGUUUUUAUUCCAACUCUAACCAUCAAUUAGAAUUUAUAUUAUAGUAAUACCCAGUAAAUAUCAUUCCAAAGAAUAUUUCUGUGUAGCUGGCAGGUAAUGCAUGUGUAUCCUUGUAGGACUUUAGUAAAGUAGCCAAGGCAGAUAAGGAGACAUAAAAAAGAGAGCAAUUAGACACUAAAACCCAAAGUAGCCUGCAGACAUGGAAAU
ensembl:lincRNA